CCUACGGGAGGCAGCAGCCAAGAAUUUUCCGCAAUGGGCGAAAGCCUGACGGAGCGACGCCGCGUGAGGGAAGAAGGUCUUCGGAUUGUAAACCUCUUUUGUAAGGGAAGAAUAAGGCUAUCAGGCAAUGGGUAGCUGAUGACGGUACCUUACGAAUAAGCCCCGGCUAAUUACGUGCCAGCAGCCGCGGUAAUACGUAAGGGGCUAGCGUUGCUCGGAAUUACUGGGCGUAAAGGGCGCGUAGGCGGUUUUGUAAGUCAAAUGUCAAAGGCCACGGCUCAACUGGGGAAAGGCAUUUGAAACUGCGAAGCUAGAGUAUAGUGGAAGGCGAUGGAAUUCCCGGUGUAGGGGUGAAAUGCGGAGAUAUCGGGAGGAACACCGAAGGCGAAGGCAGUCGUCUAUGCUAAUACUGACGCUGAGGCGCGAAAGCGGGGGGAGCAAACAGGAUUAGAUCCCCGGGUAGU
rnacentral:rRNA from 1 species